rnacentral:lncRNA from 1 species
GGCAAUUCUGCCUCCUUAGCGUCCAGGAUAGACGAAGCAUUUAUUCCGAGGCUUUGUGCGCCCUCUUGUGGUUUCUCCGUCAUGCCAACUCCCGCAGACAAUGGCUGCUUUGUCCAGAAGAGAUGAUGAUUUAGAUGACAACCUGGCUUAAACCUCAGAAACCUUCAAUCUCUCCUUCUUCAAACAGUUUUUAUUAGAAGGAUGGCUGUGAAAAAUGAAGCCCUUAUGCACAAAGCCACCGCGUUUCACUGCGAUGUUCACCUGGCCUAUGAAGAUCUCCGGACACAAAACCAGGCAACAAAAUCAGGAUGCAACAAGAUGGAGGGGCAAAGCACAGAAGCGGAGUGGGCCCUGCCGUAGGUGAGGGUUGCCAUCCUCUUACACCUGCCGCUUCAUGCUUGAGCUCAGAAACCAUCAGCUGCCUGCCAGACUUUUAGGAAGGGGUGGGGCCUUGUGAACUUCUUCUCCCUCCAAUGCAGGAUGGUGAUGAGUCCAAUCUUGUGCAUGUCUCGUACACAGAAGAGCUGCAAGCUCAGGAACAAAACGGCCACAUCAUGCACAGAAGACAGUGCCCCAUGACAGAUACUCCAUUUCUUACUCAGACACCCACUCUGAGAAAACAGUUGACUUUCACUGGCCAUGAGAACCAUCUGGAUUCUGGUGAUAACUGGAUCCUCCUGUUCCCAAGGCUACCCAUCAAGUAGGUGUGUGGUGAGACCCAGGAUUCUGUACUGAUAACAGGGGGCUGGGGGCUGGGACUCUGCUGUGCAAUCCACUGACGUAGGAUCCGUAAACAUCAUCCACUUAGAUAGGUCUUCUCUGUCUUUCCCAGUGUCUGUGUGCCAGAUGCUGGGGCUGCUCAGUCCUGCAAAGCUCUGUCGCCAGCCUUCUAGUAGAAGAAAUGUGCAAGCUGGAAGUGUCUCUUAGUCUCUUCACUGAUAGCCAAUGGAAUGUCCAUUUGAGCCAAUUUGGGGGAGUUUAUUAGCAGAAAUGAGGUAAACACUAAAUGGCAAAAUGGAUCACCUUCCCGUGGAAGCUGCCACCACACUAUGAGGGAUCAGCCUCAUGAAAGGACACUCAGUUAUUAUUCCCUCUCACUCCAUAAACAGGAUAUAUUCAAAGUCAGCACAUCAGUAAGAUAUUCCAGACAAAGCAUCCGUAGCAAAGAGUUAAGAUCUAAAUGCAACAAUUCAAAAGCCAGGAGAGACCAAGAAGCACAUGAUAGCUUUAUUAUUCUAAAUUGCCCAUUUUAGCACAGAUUCUAAAAUUGAAAUAGAGCAAAUUCUGUCUCU